UUCUUCGGAACUAGAGACCGGCGCACGGGUGCGUAACGCGUAUGCAAUCUACCUUUUACAGAGGGAUAGCCCAGAGAAAUUUGGAUUAAUACCUCAUAGUAUUAUGAAAUGGCAUCAUUUUAUAAUUAAAGUCACAACGGUAAAAGAUGAGCAUGCGUCCCAUUAGCUAGUUGGUAAGGUAACGGCUUACCAAGGCUACGAUGGGUAGGGGUCCUGAGAGGGAGAUCCCCCACACUGGUACUGAGACACGGACCAGACUCCUACGGGAGGCAGCAGUGAGGAAUAUUGGACAGUGGGCGCAAGCCUGAUCCAGCCAUGCCGCGUGCAGGAUGACGGUCCUAUGGAUUGUAAACUGCUUUUAUACGAGAAGAAACACUGCUUCGUGAAGCAGCUUGACGGUAUCGUAAGAAUAAGGAUCGGCUAACUCCGUGCCAGCAGCCGCGGUAAUACGGAGGAUCCAAGCGUUAUCCGGAAUCAUUGGGUUUAAAGGGUCCGUAGGCGGUUUAAUAAGUCAGUGGUGAAAGCCCAUCGCUCAACGGUGGAACGGCCAUUGAUACUGUUAAACUUGAAUUAUUAGGAAGUAACUAGAAUAUGUAGUGUAGCGGUGAAAUGCUUAGAGAUUACAUGGAAUACCAAUUGCGAAGGCAGGUUACUACUAAUGGAUUGACGCUGAUGGACGAAAGCGUGGGUAGCGAACAGGAUUAGAUACCCUGGUAGUCCACGCCGU
rnacentral:rRNA from 1 species